UACGGAAGGCAGCAGUGGGGAAUAUUGCACAAUGGGCGCAAGCCUGAUGCAGCCAUGCCGCGUGUAUGAAGAAGGCCUUCGGGUUGUAAAGUACUUUCAGUCGUGAGGAAGGUGUUAAGGUUAAUAACCUUAGCAAUUGACGUUAGCGACAGAAGAAGCACCGGCUAACUCCGUGCCAGCAGCCGCGGUAAUACGGAGGGUGCGAGCGUUAAUCGGAAUUACUGGGCUAAAGGGCACGCAGGCGGUUAAUUAAGUUGGAUGUGAAAUCCCCGGGCUUAACCUGGGAAUGGCAUUCAAGACUGGUUAGCUAGAGUCUUGUAGAGGGGGUAGAAUUCCAUGUGUAGCGGUGAAAUGCGUAGAGAUGUGGAGGAAUACCGGUGGCGAAGGCGGCCCCUGGGACAAAGGACUGACGCUCAUGUGCGAAAGCUGGGGAGCAAACAGGAUUAGAUACC
rnacentral:rRNA from 1 species